AGAUAGUCGAAUGACUUGGAAAAGUCAGUCAAAGAGGGUAAAAACCCCGUAGACGAAAUGUGGAAGACACCUAGGAGGAUCCUGAGUACGGCGGAACACGAGAAAUUCCGUCGGAAUCCGGGAGGACCAUCUCCCAAGGCUAAAUACUCCCUAGUGACCGAUAGUGAACCAGUACCGUGAGGGAAAGGUGAAAAGCACCCCGGAAGGGGAGUGAAAUAGAACCUGAAACCGUGUGCCUACAACAAGUCAAAGCCCGUUAAUGGGUGAUGGCGUGCCUUUUGUAGAAUGAACCGGCGAGUUACGAUUGCAUGCGAGGUUAAGUUGAAGAGACGGAGCCGCAGCGAAAGCGAGUCUGAAUAGGGCGUUUGAGUAUGUAGUCGUAGACCCGAAACCAUGUGAUCUACCCAUGUCCAGGUUGAAGGUGCGGUAAAACGCACUGGAGGACCGAACCCACGUACGUUGAAAAGUGCGGGGAUGAGGUGUGGGUAGCGGAGAAAUUCCAAACGAACUUGGAGAUAGCUGGUUCUCUCCGAAAUAGCUUUAGGGCUAGCCUCGGAAUUGAGAAUGAUGGAGGUAGAGCACUGUUUGGACUAGGGGCCCAUCUCGGGUUACCGAAUUCAGAUAAACUCCGAAUGCCAUUCAUUCAUAUCCGGGAGUCAGACUGUGAGUGAUAAGAUCCAUAGUCGAAAGGGAAACAGCCCAGACCACCAGCUAAGGUCCCAAAAUAUAUGUUAAGUGGAAAAGGAUGUGGGGUUGCACAGACAACUAGGAUGUUGGCUUAGAAGCAGCCACCAUUUAAAGAGUGCGUAAUAGCUCACUAGUCGAGUGACCCUGCGCCGAAAAUGUACCGGGGCUAAACAUAUUACCGAAGCUGUGGAGUACACCUUUAGGUGUAUUGGUAGGAGAGCGUUCUAAGGGCGUCGAAGGCAGAUCGUGAGGACUGCUGGAGCGCUUAGAAGUGAGAAUGCCGGUAUGAGUAGCGAAAGACAGGUGAGAAUCCUGUCCACCGAAUGACUAAGGUUUCCUGGGGAAGGCUCGUCCGCCCAGGGUUAGUCGGGACCUAAGCCGAGGCCGAUAGGCGUAGGCGAUGGAUAACAGGUUGAUAUUCCUGUACCCGUUGUUUUUGUUUGAGCAAUGGAGGGACGCAGGAGGCUAAGGAAUGCAGACGAUCGGAAAUGUCUGUCCAAGCAGUAAGUCUGAAGAGGAGUCAAAUGCUUCUUUUCUUAAGGACAAACUGUGAUGGGGAGGGAAAUAAUAGUACCGAAGUUCCUGAUGUCACACUGCCGAGAAAAGCUUCUAGUGAGAAAACAGCGGCCCGUACCGCAAACCGACACAGGUAGUCGAGGAGAGAAUCCUAAGGUGAGCGAGAGAACUCUCGUUAAGGAACUCGGCAAAAUGACCCCGUAACUUCGGGAGAAGGGGUGCUGAUCAUACGAUCAGCCGCAGUGAAUAGGCCCAAGCGACUGUUUAUCAAAAACACAGGUCUC
rnacentral:rRNA from 1 species